rnacentral:ncRNA from 1 species
ACGCCGUCCCGAGCGGCGUUCGCGGCCUCGAACGGGCCAUGGCGGGGGUGGUGCCGUGUCGGCGCAGCACCACCCCUUGC